rnacentral:rRNA from 1 species
UUGCCAAGGUUCGGAGGGGGGGCGUAGCAAUACGUCAGCGGCAGACGGGUGAGUAACGCGUGGUUUCGUACCUUUUGGUUCGGAACAACACAGGGAAACUUGUGCUAAUACCGGAUAAGCCCUUACGGGGAAAGAUUUAUCGCCGAAAGAUAGGCCCGCGUCUGAUUAGCUAGUUGGUGAGGUAACGGCUCACCAAGGCGACGAUCAGUAGCUGGUCUGAGAGGAUGAUCAGCCACAUUGGGACUGAGACACGGCCCAAACUCCUACGGGAGGCAGCAGUGGGGAAUAUUGGACAAUGGGCGCAAGCCUGAUCCAGCCAUGCCGCGUGAGUGAUGAAGGCCCUAGGGUUGUAAAGCUCUUUUGUGCGGGAAGAUAAUGACGGUACCGCAAGAAUAAAGCCCCGGCUAACUUCGUGCCAGC